rnacentral:siRNA from 1 species
UAUCGUCUUUUGCCAUGUUUAUGC